rnacentral:rRNA from 1 species
GACGAACGCUGGCGGCGUGCCUAAUACAUGCAAGUCGAACGCUUCUUUCCUCCCGAGUGCUUGCACUCAAUUGGAAAGAGGAGUGGCGGACGGGUGAGUAACACUUGGGUAACCUACCCAUCAGAGGGGGAUAACACUUGGAAACAGGUGCUAAUACCGCAUAACAGUUUAUGCCGCAUGGCAUAAGAGUGAAGGGCGCUUUCGGGGGUCGCUGAUGGAUGGACCCGCGGUGCAUUAGCUAGUUGGUGAGGUAACGGCUCACCAAGGCCACGAUGCAUAGCCGACCUGAGAGGGUGAUCGGCCACACUGGGACUGAGACACGGCCCAGACUCCUACGGGAGGCAGCAGUAGGGAAUCUUCGGCAAAGGACGAAAGUCUGACCGAGCAACGCCGCGUGAGUGAAGAAGGUUUUCGGAUCGUAAAACUCUGUUGUUAGAGAAGAACAAGGACGUUAGUAACUGAACGUCCCCUGACGGUAUCUAACCAGAAAGCCACGGCUAACUACGUG